GCAUUGGUAGUUCAGGGGUAGAAUUCUAGUCUUCCAUGCAGGGGACCCAGGUUCAAUUCCCAGCCAAUGUA
rnacentral:tRNA from 1 species